rnacentral:rRNA from 1 species
AUUGAACGCUGGCGGCAGGCCUAACACAUGCAAGUCGAGCGAGCGGCGGACGGGUGAGUAAUGUAUGGGGAACUGCCCGGGAGAGGGGGAUAAAUACUGGAAACGGUCGCUAAUACCGCAUACUAUCAGAUGAGCCCAUAUGGGAUUAGCUAGUAGGUGGGGUAAUGGCUCACCUAGGCGACGAUCGCUAGCUGGUCUGAGAGGAUGAACAGCCACACUGGAAUUGAGACACGGUCCAGACUCCUACGGGAGGCAGCAGUGGGGAAUAUUGCACAAUGGGCGCAAGCCUGAUGCAGCCAUGCCGCGUGUGUGAAGAAGGCCUUAGGGUUGUAAAGCACUUUCAGCGAGGAGGCGUUACCCGCAGAAGAAGCACCGGCUAACUCCGUGCCAGCAGCCGCGGUAAUAC